GCUCAACCGAGGAAGUGCUUCGAAAACUGGUAAACUUGAGUGCAGAAGAGGAAAGUGGAACUCCAUGUGUAGCGGUGGAAUGCGUAGAUAUAUGGAAGAACACCAGUGGCGAAGGCGGCUUUCUGGUCUGUAACUGACGCUGAGAUUCGAAAGCAUGGGUAGCAAACAGGAUUAGAUACCCUGGUAGUCCAUGCCGUAAACGAUGAGUGCUAAGUGUUGGUGGGUUUCCGCCCUUCAGUGCUGCAGCUAACGCAUUAAGCACUCCGCCUGGGGAGUACGACCGCAAGGUUGAAACUCAAAGGAAUUGACGGGGGCCCGCACAAGCGGUGGAGCAUGUGGUUUAAUUCGAAGCAACGCGAAGAACCUUACCAGGUCUUGACAUACCAUGGGGGAGCUUAGAGAUAAGUCUUUCCCUUCGGGGACAUGGAUACAGGUGGUGCAUGGUUGUCGUCAGCUCGUGUCGUGAGAUGUUGGGUUAAGUCCCGCAACGAGCGCAACCCUUAUUAUCAGUUGCCAGCAUUCAGUUGGGCACUCUGGUGAGACUGCCGGUGACAAACCGGAGGAAGGUGGGGACGACGUCAAAUCAUCAUGCCCCUUAUGACCUGGGCUACACACGUGCUACAAUGGUCGGUACAACG
rnacentral:rRNA from 1 species